AUUGAACGCUGGUGGCAGGCCUAACACAUGCAAGUCGAGCGGAUGAAGGGAGCUUGCUCCUGGAUUCAGCGGCGGACGGGUGAGUAAUGCCUAGGAAUCUGCCUGGUAGUGGGGGAUAACGUCCGGAAACGGGCGCUAAUACCGCAUACGUCCUGAGGGAGAAAGUGGGGGAUCUUCGGACCUCACGCUAUCAGAUGAGCCUAGGUCGGAUUAGCUAGUUGGUGGGGUAAAGGCCUACCAAGGCGACGAUCCGUAACUGGUCUGAGAGGAUGAUCAGUCACACUGGAACUGAGACACGGUCCAGACUCCUACGGGAGGCAGCAGUGGGGAAUAUUGGACAAUGGGCGAAAGCCUGAUCCAGCCAUGCCGCGUGUGUGAAGAAGGUCUUCGGAUUGUAAAGCACUUUAAGUUGGGAGGAAGGGCAGUAAGUUAAUACCUUGCUGUUUUGACGUUACCAAAAGAAUAAGCACCGGCUAACUUCGUG
rnacentral:rRNA from 1 species